AGCUGGAUUCACUUAACAAUCACAUGAUUCACUCAAUGACUAUGGUGAUUCAAUUAAUGACCACUGUAAAAAUGUCAUAAAAUUGAGCCCCACUUGACUUGUUGACCACAACAAAUUUCAAUGAAAAUUCUGAUUCCAAUUGUGGUUGUAAGUUUAAGAAUACCUGUAAAUGUUGGGAUCAGCAAGAUGGCGGAUGGAUAUAUGGUAGAUGAGAAUGGUGAUCUACAGUUGGAAUUUACUACCUGGAGUGCCACUUGUUGUUCUGGACGAAGAUGAAUGAGAACAAAAAAUAGCUGCAAUUUUUACCAUUUGUCUGCCAUUGGUGAUCAUUAAGACAAGGCCUCCUGAUAUGAUAGGCAUCAGAGUAUUUGCAAGAGGAUAUUCCCUGCAGGAGCUGCACUGUCUCCUUCUAAAGGCGUGAGCUGGACUGGACUAUAAUUGGCAAGCUCCAACAGCACUAUCAGUUUGAGAAAAAGAAUGUCUUUUAAAUGAAUUUAUUAAGAAUUGGAAAGCAAUGUUUGAAUGAUGGAGUCAUUAGAAUGUGCCCUGGAGUUCUGUAUUUAUUCUACAUAGCCUCUGUCAGCUGCUCUUUUUUCCUGGAUUCUUUAUUCCUGCAGUACUUUUCUAAAUAAAAUAUACGUUUUGAUCUAGAUAUCAUACUUUGAAUUAUUAAGCUGAGAAUGUAAUUUCCUUUAUCUACUUCAGUGUCUUUGUCACAGUCCUGUACUUUAAAGCUUCUCUGUCAUAAAAGCAUUUACUUUCUACUUCUGUUUUGACUGUAAAUAAAAUAAAAGUAAAGCACCAUAAA